GACGGAAGAGGCAAGCGUUGUUCGGAAUCACUGGGCUUAAAGCGCGUGUAGGCGGCCCGGCAAGUACCUUGUGAAAGCCCUCGUCUCAACCGAGGCAUGGCUGGGUAUACUGCCGGGCUUGAGGCAGGUAGGGGUGCCUGGAACUCUCGGUGGAGCGGUGAAAUGCGUAGAUAUCGAGAGGAACGCACGUGGCGAAAGCGGGGCACUGGGCCUGACCUGACGCUGAGACGCGAAAGCGUGGGGAGCAAACGGG
rnacentral:rRNA from 1 species